CAGGUACUCCCUCCGUUCAGAAAUACUUGUCAUCAAAAUGAAUAAAAGGAGAUGUAUCUAGAUGUAUUUUAGUUCUAAAUACAUCCUCUUUUAUCCAUUUUGAUGACAAGCUUUUCUGGAGGGAGGGAAUACUAA
rfam:Triticum aestivum genome assembly, contig: Triticum_aestivum_CS42_TGACv1_scaffold_608317_7DL